CAUCUUUCCUGUGGCUGCUGAACCUGCCUGCCUACAGCUUGUUGGUCAUGGACACUGAGUUCAGUUCUCUGCUGUUUAUCAUCACCUGAAAAGUUUGUGCCAGGAGCUGAAAACAGGGCAUUGGUCUCCUUGUCCUCAGUGGUAUCUGAGCAGCCUCCAGCACUGUCCUGUGUAUCUUCAGUGAUGACUACUGUCUUCUCUGGCUGUGGUGGCUGGUCAUUCUUGGAUGCUUUUUGUUUUGCUUGGCUGGAGGAGGUGAGGAGGUCCUGGGGCUCUUCCUGCUUGUCUUCAUUAUUAAUUUGUUCUGAAGAUUCUGCAGAGUAUUUUUGUUGACUCUGCUUCUCUGAGGAGCACCCAGACAAAGUGACGAGGGCUGACUGGGGCUCGGUGGGUUUCCCUUGGGUUGUUUCCUUCUUGUGAGUGCUGCUUUUGUCUUCAGAACCAAAAACUGCAGUGAAGGGUUUUUUCCCAAACGUGAAACCUUUACCCAGUGCAUCUGUCCUGGCUUGACUGCUUCUGGUCUCUUUGCCUUUGUCACUGGGUCUUAAUGUAUCCACAACAGUUCCCUCUGAGUGUUUCAGCUUCAUUUUUUCUUUACCCUGUGGGUGGCCUCUGUAUUUGUCUGAGGAUACAGUUGACUUGGAAGACUCUAAUUUCUCAAUUGGUUGCUCUGAAAUGGGAAAGAUGUUUCCAAGAAGAUCUUCACUUGGAUCCCGUGAUUUGGAGUUGUUGACUUCAUCGUGUGAGGGCUGAGUGGCACUGGGCCUUUUCAAAGACGUGUGUUCAGUACUGAGUUCCUCAAGAAACCCUGGUGGAUUUACUUCUUCCAUUCUAUUUGUCUUCUCAAAUUCUGCCGCUGUGCUCUCUUCCCCAGGCAAAUGACUUAUGCUGGAUGGCUGCAUGUUCUCCUCCAGAAGGACUGCUGUCUGCUCCCUAGGGAGCUCAUCAGCAUUUAUUUUUGAUGUCUCACUCACCAGCUCAGCUAUCUCAGGUGAUGCACUCAGCCCUUCUGGCUCUGAGGAGCUGGGUGCUGCACUGGGGGUCCCCGGCACAACAGGAAUGAGGGGGGCUUGGUGUUUAGCUUUGGGUUCAGGGGGUUUAUUGCCCUCAUCUCUGUUUUUUUGCUUCAUAUUCAUGUUGUUUCUGGUUUCAAGACUUUCUGGCAUGUGUGAGGCCGACCCUGUCUUCAGCUGGAGUUUGCCCUGCUGGAACGCAGCAACUCGCUGGGACACCUGGCCCCCUCGCUUACCAUUGCCUACAUCCCCAUUCCCAGGUGCCAGUGCUUUCCCACCAUCUCUCUCCUCUCUAGGCUUAGGCCGGGAGCACACUUGUUCUCUUUUCUCAGGAUAGGUGACACCAGGUGGGAAGCUGCCCUCCCUCAGAGCUGCCUCUGUGGCUGUUUUUCUCUCCUGACCCAUGAGCACCAUCCUGUCCACCUUGUUACCUGCAGCCUGGUGGUUUUGCCAGCUCAAUGCGGACUUCUUCCGCAAACACAUUCCCUUUCCAGCUUUUCCAUCUGUUUCUGAAGGUGGCCAGCAGUUUUUGAGCUUGUUCCCUCGGGUCGCAGGCCUGCUGUUCAGCUCUUGCCUUCGCUCAGCCAGCUGCAAGCUGCAUGGUGCACUGAAGGAUGUGGGUUCCCUUCUUGCUUUGGUCUUAUUUUCAGUUCCACUAUACCAGUCCAGAGGCUGUGUUCUUUUGCCUACCAUUGCUGCUGGCUGCAUCUGAUCAUCCCCUGGUUGUUGCUCCAGCCCUUCUCUCUCCCUUCUGCUUUUGGCUCCAGCCAUCUGCUUGUAGUGGACUUGGCAAUAGAACACCCCAUGGAGGGCAGCAUAACUGUGCAAGCUGGAAAACACACAUCGGCAUAUCUGUUAGAGGCUGCACAGGAGGGAAGGAUUAACAGCAACGAUGGAUAGGUUUUCAGCAGAGUUGUCUAUUGGUGGAAACUGAUGGGGAAAAGAGGGGGUCUGAAGAAAGGAACCUUUCAAAAGCACUGUCUGUUUGCUGAGGAUAUGUUUGAUUUUUCUUUCAAAAUCUAAAACACGUGAAAAAUUAUACAUUUCCUUGCAGUACCUCAGGGAGCUGUAGGCCAGGUUAUGUGAGAUCCCUUUAUGUGCUAGACACAGGACUUCAUCUUUCCCUUUGUAUGGACAGCAUGGCCCAGAAAGGUCAGAGGCUGAGAACUGGGUUAGAAAAGCUUUAUAACAAGAAGGUUAAGGGCAGGACCUCAUUGCUGUGUGUUUGCCUUGUGGGAGGUUAUAGAGAAGACAGACUCGGAUUGUUCUUGGAGGUGUGGAGAACAGAGGCAAUAAGAGCAAAGUAAACAUGGGAUAUCGUGAUUAGAUAUAGGAAAAGAACAUUUUUGCUGCUGAUCAGGUCUUGAAAGAGAGGCCCCAACUGGAAGGCUGUGGAAUCUCUGACCUUGGAACCAUACACACCUCUCCUGGAUGAGAUCCUGAGCAACAUUCCUCCUUGGACCUGCAAGGGACUGGGUGGAGGCUUCCAAGUUUUGUUCCAGCCUACCUGACUCCAUGAACAGCUCAGAGAAUGGACAAGUUUAAUUUUGGCUGUUAUGUCGUGUGGGCUGAAGGCCAGAUUUUAGACUUGAGUGGAAGAAGCAUGGAAUAUAUUUCUGCAUCAGAAAUAUACGGUGUGUCCUGAGAUGGAUGCAUCCAAACAAAAGCCCCAUCUUCCCUGCAGUCUUCAGUGAUUUCAACACAGCUCUGCUUUUCAAAGUCCUCUGCAGAGAGGAUAGCAUAGUCCUGGAGAUUGAAGGAGUCCUGCAAUAUUUAGCUGGUCUACCUGGUCCACCUCACCUUGAGCAAGAUAUUGCAUGGUGUGAGAUAAUAUCUGCUGUUUAAAAACAUAGCCAUGAACUGAGCGAUAUGAAGUGGUACGCUCUGAAACUGUUGUCAGUCAUCAGUGUGAGAAAGCACCUCUUGGGGUGUACAUCGUACCCAGUGUUAACUUCAGUGUGCUCCUGGAUGGGGUGGUGUGUAUUAUAUUGUACUCAACGCAGUUUUCAGAUGUGAAUACAGAUGCUGCUUGCCACAGAGCUGAUAGUCCACCCACAUUGUAAAGAAGACAUGGAUCUGUGAGUUGGAUUUAGUGAUUUGGAAUGGCCUUACUGUGCGAUUUGACUGGUUCAUUUCAGUGGUUAAUAUCAGGGGACUUUGAAAGGAAGCAAGCCCUCAACAAAAGAAAGCCAACCAGACCAAAGUAUUUUUAGAGGUAAUGUUUACCUUCAGAAUGCAGCAAUAAAAGUUAAAAAAAAAAAAAAAAAAAAAAAAAAAACAGAAAAAAA